GACGAGCGCUGGCGGCGUGCUUAACACAUGCAAGUCGAGCGGAAAGGCCCCUUCGGGGGUACACGAGCGGCGAACGGGUGAGUAACACGUGAGCAAUCUGCCCAUCACAUCGGGAUAACUCCGGGAAACCGAAGCUAAUACCGAAUACGACCACCUCCGGCAUCGGAUGGUGGUGGAAAGUUUUUCGGCUGGGGAUGGGCCCGCGGCCUAUCAGCUUGUUGGUGGGGUGAUGGCCUACCAAGGCGACGACGGGUAGCCGGCCUGAGAGGGCGACCGGCCACACUGGGACUGAGACACGGCCCAGACUCCUACGGGAGGCAGCAGUGGGGAAUAUUGCGCAAUGGGCGGAAGCCUGACGCAGCGACGCCGCGUGAGGGAUGACGGCCUUCGGGUUGUAAACCUCUUUCAGCUCUGACGAAGCGUGAGUGACGGUAGGAGCAGAAGAAGCACCGGCCAACUACGUGCCAGCAGCCGCGGUAAUACGUAGGGUGCAAGCGUUGUCCGGAAUUAUUGGGCGUAAAGAGCUCGUAGGCGGUUUGUCGCGUCGAAUGUGAAAACCCGGGGCUCAACCCCGGGCCUGCAUUCGAUACGGCAGACUAGAGUUCGGUAGGGGAGUCUGGAAUUCCUGGUGUAGCGGUGAAAUGCGCAGAUAUCAGAGGAACACCGGUGGCGAAAGCGGGACUCUGGGCCGAUACUGACGCUGAGGAGCGAAAGCGUGGGAGCAAACAGGAUUAGAUACCCUGGUAGUCCACGCCGUAAACGUUGGGCGCUAGGUGUGGGGUUCCUUCCACGAACUCCGUGCCGCANCUAACGCAUUAAGCNCCCCGCCUGGGAGUACGGCNCAAGGCUAA
rnacentral:rRNA from 1 species